rnacentral:rRNA from 1 species
CGUGCAGGCGGUUCUGUAAGUCGGAUGUGAAAGCUCCUGGCUUAACUGGGAGAGGCCAUUCGAUACUGCAGGACUUGAGGUCGGGAGAGGGACGUGGAAUUCCCGGUGUAGUGGUGGAAUGCGUAGAUAUCGGGAGGAACACCAGUGGCGAAGGCGGCGUCCUGGCCCGCACCUGACGCUGAGACGCGAAAGCGUGGGUAGCGAACG